rnacentral:rRNA from 1 species
CCCAGUAGACGACUGGGUUGAUAGGCCAGAUGUGGAAGCCCUGUGAGGGGUGGAGCUGACUGGUACUAAUAGGCCGAGGGCUUGUCCAU